rnacentral:rRNA from 1 species
GAUGAACGCUAGCUACAGGCUUAACACAUGCAAGUCGAGGGGCAGCAUUUUAGUUUGCUUGCAAACUGAAGAUGGCGACCGGCGCACGGGUGAGUAACACGUAUCCAACCUGCCGAUAACUCCGGAAUAGCCUUUCGAAAGAAAGAUUAAUACCGGAUAGUAUACGAAUAUCGCAUGAUAUUUUUAUUAAAGAAUUUCGGUUAUCGAUGGGGAUGCGUUCCAUUAGUUUGUUGGCGGGGUAACGGCCCACCAAGACUACGAUGGAUAGGGGUUCUGAGAGGAAGGUCCCCCACAUUGGAACUGAGACACGGUCCAAACUCCUACGGGAGGCAGCAGUGAGGAAUAUUGGUCAAUGGGCGAGAGCCUGAACCAGCCAAGUAGCGUGAAGGAUGAAGGCUCUAUGGGUCGUAAACUUCUUUUAUAUGGGAAUAAAGUUUUCCACGUGUGGAAUUUUGUAUGUACCAUAUGAAUAAGGAUCGGCUAACUCCGUGCCAGCAGCCGCGGUAAUACGGAGGAUCCGAGCGUUAUCCGGAUUUAUUGGGUUUAAAGGGAGCGUAGGUGGAUUGUUAAGUCAGUUGUGAAAGUUUGCGGCUCAACCGUAAGAUUGCAGUUGAAACUGGCAGUCUUGAGUACAGUAGAGGUGGGCGGAAUUCGUGGUGUAGCGGUGAAAUGCUUAGAUAUCACGAAGAACUCCGAUUGCGAAGGCAGCUCACUAGACUGUCACUGACACUGAUGCUCGAAAGUGUGGGUAUC